AUCCUUACCCCAUGUUCGUCGGCGUUGCCGACACAUGCCCAGGCAGCCAAGACCUUCAAGGCUGCAAGCGCGGGAAACCGUGCUGGUUGUUUCUUCCUACGGACGCAUCGCGCCCAUUCACCCACAAGGGACCUCUCCCUUGCGGGCGG
rnacentral:ncRNA from 1 species